AUACGUAGGGGGCGAGCGUUGUCCGGAAUGAUUGGGCGUAAAGGGCGCGUAGGCGGCCCGGUAAGUCUGGAGUGAAAGUCCUGUUUUUAAGAUGGGAAUUGCUUUGGAUACUGUCGGGCUUGAGUGCAGGAGAGGUAAGUGGAAUUCCCAGUGUAGCGGUGAAAUGCGUAGAGAUUGGGAGGAACACCAGUGGCGUAGGCGACUUACUGGACUGUAACCGACGCUGAGGCGCGAAAGUGUGGGGAGCAAACAGGAUUAGAUACCCUGGUAGUCCACACUGUAAACGAUGAAUGCUAGGUGUAGGGGGUAUCGACCCCUUCUGUGCCGCAGUCAACACAAUAAGCAUUCCGCCUGGGGAGUACGGCCGCAAGGUUGAAACUCAAAUGAAUUGACGGGG
rnacentral:rRNA from 1 species